CUUGAGUUUUCCAGAAAACAAUCCAGAAAGAGAAAAGAAAAUGACCAGACCCAGAUGUUUAUCAUCCACUUCUUACACCUGUGAUCGCCAAGCUGCUGCUUCUCCUCGCCCCCCCGCCGCCAUCAUCAGAAAGGGCCUCCCAGGGCCUCGCCGUCCACGGUGGCUCCACUGACCAUCAGCACGUCGCUGGGGAGCUGGCAGAAAUGCAGACCCUCAGACCCACCCUGGGCCUGCUGGAUGGGAGCCUGCACCCAUCCAGGAGCAGCACCACUUCCUCCCCCCGCCCCCCAGGCUUUCACCCUGCUGUCACCUUGCUCCAGGACUGCACAAGCCCCGUACCCCAGCAUGCAAUUAGGUGUCUCAGCACCCUUCCAGUCUGAGGACAGCCUGCAGCCUUCUCUCACCUGCGGAAAUCAGUCCUUCACCCCGCUCCAGUGCAAUGCACGUGGCUGCCCAGCUGCCACACCCUUUCUACCACUUGCUCUUGUUCAUGCUGUUCUCACGCUGAGGACCUGCCCCAACCCCAGGCAUCCU